GAUGAUCCAGCAAUUUUGCUUCUUGGGUAUAGAUACCCAAAAGAAUUGAAAGCAGGGACUCAAACAGAUACUUGUACACCCAUGUUCAUAGCAACAAUAUUCCCAACAGCCAAAAGGUGACAACCCAAAUGUCCAUCUAGAGAUGACAUAUAUAUAUAUAUGCCACAUUUUGUAUAUGUAUGUUAUAUAUAUAUGCAUAACAUUGCAUUUAUACACACACACACACACUGGAUUAUUCAGCCUUAAAAAGGAAUGAAUAAUGACUGCUACAACAUGGGUGAGCCUUGAAAACGUAAGUGAAAUAAGCCAGGUACAACGACAUGAUUCCACUCUUAGGAGGUAGUGUAGUUAAAUUCAGAGACUCUUAGGGAUUACCAGGGGCUAGGGAGAGGAGAGAAUGGGGAGGUACUAUAUAAUAGGUACAGAAUUUGUUUGAGAUGAUGGAAAUAUUCUGGAAAUAAUAGUUGCACAACUUUGUGCGUGUAAUUAACACCACUGAAUUGUACACUCAUAAUGGCUAAAAGAUUUAUAUAAUGCAUGUUUCUCUACCAUAAAAACGAAAAGCAAAGAGCUCAACAGAUACAAGAGCUCUAAGAUCACAACCAAUCACUGGAAAACCUCGUUUUAAUUUUAAUUCCAGCAUCUACAUUGGACAAUUAGCAUUUGUAAAAACCUUUUCAUGCUUUGAGAACUAAAUGAAAAGACACUCAUGUUGAAAGCUUACCAGAUGCUACUUUUCAGUGUAUGUGCAUUUGUUUUAAACUGAAUGCACUAAGUAGCAUUUGCAGGAUGAACAUGGAUAACAAUACUUGAGGGUUAGAAUUCCUCGCUAUCCAACCACACAUUGUAUUAUACAGGCUGGCGACAACAGCAUCCAUUCUCAUUAGGUAUUUGGAAAUUAUUUUAGUGUCUUGCAUUUGGCCUCACUAUCAAUCACCAUCAAUAGAAAAGUUAUUUCAAACUAGCUCAUUCUAAAUAGACAACUAAGUGGUAGCUUCCAUGAUGUCUUAGGUUCUUUGCGGGGUGGAAGAGCAGGGUAAAUGCUCCCUGCACAUAAUAUACUUAACAUAUUUCAAGUAUCAUUUUACUCUUAAUAUGACAAGUGAGAAAAUGCUGAUUUAUUUAUUUCCUCCCCCUUUGUAGGUGGGAAAUAGAAGGCAUUUGAGCUGAGAUAUUACGACGCCAAAACCUUUAUCAGCUUCUCCAAAUAUUAUUUGCACUCUUCCACUUUAUUUAUUUUUCUUUUUAGGGCCGCACGUGUAGCAUAUGAAAAGUGUCCAGCUGCAGCUCCAGCUCUGAUUUGACCUCUAGCCUAGGGAUCCUGGGGACUUCCAUGUGCCUGGAGUGUGGCCCUAAGAAGCAAAAAAAAAAAAAGUUUAAAGAAGGCAGAGCUGACCCCCACAAUGAUGCAAGAAGUGGCUUUCUAGUCACCCACAGGACAUAUGACAAUGUGGAGGGGGUCAGGAAUUUGGUUUGCUCAGAUAGCCAAUUUAACUGUAAAAAAAUAGCUGAAAAGCUAAAUUUAGACAGUCAAGACUCAUUCUGAAAGAAAGCUUGCUCCGGAGGGAAAAAAAUCCUAGCUGUUGUGGUUGAUGAUCCUGUAGAGAGAGGCCAAACCAAAACAGAGUUUCACUGGAACCACCACUUGGGUGGAUAUUCAGGGCAGUCCUACAAUUUUUUUCAUUGGUCUUGGAGGAACAAAAAUGAGCUGAGCUUCCUCAUUUUUCAUCAGCUCUAUAGGUACAAUGAUUUAAGCAGAGUGAAACCUUUAGAGUCGAGUGUGACAAAGUAGAGAGCAUAGGGCUAGUUUAUUGGGAGGAUCCUAGCAAAUCGUUAGCUCCGAAUGAGCAGCUAAACAUGGGAGCAUUUCUCUUAUUUCAAGCUGAGCUCAUUUGAGUAACAAGUAGGUUACCUGCAGGCUGGGAGUUACACUGUCAACAGGGAGCUAGAGCUCAAUGUUACUCUUUGUUUUUUUUCUUAUUGCCAUGGCAGGUGGAAGUUCCUGGGCCAGGAUCAAAACCAAGCCACUACAAGGACAACUCCGGAUCCUUAACCUGCUGCAUCAUAAGAGAUCAGUGUUAUGUAUUGUUAUACAGAAUAGAUGAAAAUGGUUUCACUUUAAACGUUUAAAGAAAAUAAUGCAAGGAAAAGUAUUUCAGAUAUGUUUUUGUGUUAACAUUAGCAUUUUAGUUAAGGAGCUAGUUAAAUCAUGUUCCUCCUCAUAAGAAUAUUGAGUCAACAAGAGUUUAUUUAGGAACUUGGAUCUUUGCUGCCCCAGUUUCCUUACCAGUCUCUAGUAAGAUGCUCUAAUCAGUCAAUAUCUUUAUUGUUGCUGCCCAGAUAAACCAGCAUUACAGACUAUAGAUGACUUAAUCCAGGGCCUUGUGGCAGUGACCUCAGAGAACUAGCAUUGCUGCAGAGGUGCAGAUUUGAUCACUGGCCUGGAGGGUGGAUUCACUCCCUUGGUUUACAAGGCAAAAACUUAGAAUAAUUUUUCAUGUUUUCUUAGUUCCUGUUACUGAAUUUUUACAACUUGCAUUUAAGAUGGUGUUUUGUACUAUGUAAUAAAGUAUAUACGUACUUGACAUCCUAAUAAACCAUACAUU
rnacentral:lncRNA from 1 species